rnacentral:rRNA from 1 species
UUCACGGAGAGUUUGAUCCUGGCUCAGGACGAACGCUGGCGGCGUGCUUAACACAUGCAAGUGGAGCGACGAACCAGGGGCUUGCCCCUGGGGCAGAGCCGCGAACGGGUGAGUAACACGUGGGCAACCUGCCCCGAUGACCGGGACAACCCGAGGAAACUCGGGCUAAUACCGGAUGUGCUCCCGCCACACCAGUGGCGUGAGGAAAGGAAGCUUCGGCCUCCGCAUCGGGAUGGGCCCGCGGCCCAUUAGCUUGUUGGUGGGGUAACGGCCUACCAAGGCGACGAUGGGUAGCUGGUCUGAGAGGACGAUCAGCCACACUGGGACUGAGACACGGCCCAGACUCCUACGGGAGGCAGCAGUGGGGAAUCUUGCGCAAUGCGCGAAAGCGUGACG